rnacentral:lncRNA from 1 species
CUGCCACAAAGGGAGCCGUUGGGAACCUCAUAGGGACCCAGAGAGAUUCAGGUACUGCCACAAAGGGAGCCAUAGGUAGCCCCAUAGGGAGCCAGAGAGAAUCAGGUACUGCCACAAAGGGAGCCAUGGGGAGCCCCAUAGGGAGGCAGGCAGACCCCAGGUACUGCCACAAAGGGAGCCAUGGGGAGCCCCAUAGGGAGGCAGGCAGACCCCAGGUACUGCCACAAAGGGAGCCGUGGGGAGCCCCAUAGGGAGCCAGACAGAGCCCAGGUACUGUCACAAAGGGAGCCAUUGGGGGUCCCAUAGGGAGUCAUAUAGACCCCAGGUACUGCCACAAAGGGAGCUGUGGGGAGCCCCAUUGGGAGCCAGACAGAGCCCAGGUACUGCCACAAAGGGAGCCGUUGGGAACCUCAUAGGGACCCAGAGAGAUUCAGGUACUGCCACAAAGGGAGCCGUGGG